AAACCAAUACGAAAUUUUGCGUUUGAAUAUGUAUUAUGAAGUUGUAAUAUAGCUUUUACUGUUUUUACUAGCUCAACCUGCUGUAGCUUUUGCAGCACUGAAUAUUUUGCUUGGCCUUCGGUCAACGUUCAUUUGCUACUAUUUUCUGCUGAAAAGGUUUUUUUCUUCUUCAUACUUCAGGGCAAGAACUUGAAGAAAUCUAAGUCAAUUUCAACUCUAGAGGAGAGACAAGAAAAACGAUGGCUGAUAUUCCUGCUUUAGCAAUUCUCUUAGGCAACAUGAUGGAGACAAUUUCAUACAACACUGAUUUAAUCGGAAGAGCCAUGAGCAAUGACCUCAAGGGCUUGUGCGAUGAUCUUGCUGUGUUGAAAGCCUCUAUCAAGCAUUACCCUGAAUGGCAGAAGGACAAGGGAGCCAUCAAGAACUUGGAGAACGAAAUCAGGGACGUUGUUUUUGAAGCUGAAAAUGCAAUUGACACAUACAUACUUCAUGCGUCUAAUCAAAGACACAGAGGCUUUCUUGCCAGAGCUUUUCACACGACUGAGAGCGCGUCUGUGCUUCGCAGUUUGGGGAAACGGAUUGCACAAGUACGUGCGCAAGUACAGAACAUUCAACGAAGCGAUUUGCCGAGCAUUGGCCUUGAUGCCUUGCAAUUUGAUGAGAUCUCCUAUAUGAGAACCAAGAAACAGACUCCUUUGUUCGGGGCAGACAAAGUGAUUGGCUUCGUGGAUUCGGCCAAGGAUGUAAUCGAACUUCUCACAGGUAGAUCGCAGCGACAAUCAGACCAAUUGGAGGUAAUCUCAAUCGUUGGGAUGCCUGGGAUCGGCAAAACAACAUUAGCCAGAAAGGUCCUUAGUGACCCAAUGAUUGACUAUGAAUUCUUUACAAAAGUAUUCGUUCAUGUUUCUCAAGAUUGGGAGAGAAAAGAUGUCUUCCUGAGUAUUCUCACUUCAUUUACUCGUAUCGAUGAAGCAAUGAAUAGGAUGUCAGAUGAUGCAUUAGCUGAUGAAGUGCGACAGCGUCUAAAAUAUAAGUAUUUGAUCGUGAUAGAUGAUCUAUGGUCCAAUGAUGCAUGGGACAAAUUGAAGUCUGCUUUUCCUGACAACAAGAAGGGUAGCAGAGUGUUAAUAACUACUCGAAAUGUAGCUGUAGCUCAUUAUGCCAAUACAAAAAAUGAACCCUAUUACUUGGGAUUCCUGUCACCAGAAGAAAGUAGGGAGCUGCUCCGAUAUAAAGUUUUUGAUGGGAAUAAUUGCCCCGAAGAACUACAGGCAUACGAGGCCAAGAUCCUGGAUAGAUGCGCUGGAUUACCUCUAGCAAUUGUAGUAGUUGCUGGGAUACUCCGGAAUAACAGCAAAGCUACACAUUGGUGGAUGAGUGUGGCUGAAAAUGUGCAUGAUUAUGUUGCCAAGAAUGAUGAACUAGGCAAUGAUGUGAUUAGGAGGAGUUACAACCACUUGCCCUACAACUUGAAGCCAUGCUUUCUCUAUUUUGGGGUUUUUCCUGAAUACUUUGAAAUCCCAGCAUGGAAGUUAAUCCGCUUGUGGAUUUCUGAAGGGUUCAUAGAGCACCAAAGAUUCAUGAACAUGGAGGAUGUGGCAGAGUUUUACCUACAGGAAUUGGUCGAUCGGAGCUUAGUGAUGAUCGGGCAGAAGAGAUCAGAUGGCCGAAUUAAAACAUGUCGUAUGAACAACAUGUUGCAAGAUUUUUGCAAGAAACAGGCUGUGGAAGAAAAUAUUUUCCGAGAAAUAAAAAGGUUUGAUGAAUCUACCUCUGCACCUUACUCUUCUUCUCACAAUGCCCGUCGCCUUUGCAUUCAUCCCCAUAACCUAGAGCAUAUUAAAGUAAAACCUACCGGUGAUUAUGUUCGAUCAUUUCUGAGCUUUGCCAAGGAACAAAUUCAGUUACCUCAAGAGCAUAUCUCAUUCAUCCCUAAGGCAUUUAAACUAUUGAAAGUUUUAGACAUUGGAUCCAUCAUUUUUAGUCGUUUCCCAGCUGAAUUCUUUUACCUCUUGCUAUUGAAGUACAUUGCAAUCUCUUGCCACUUCAAAGUCUUCCCUGGAAAGCUAUCUACUCUGCUGAACCUACAAACAAUUAUAAUAGAUACAUCCUUGCGAGCCCUCGAAAUAAAAGCUGACAUAUGGAAGAUGCCACAACUAAGGCAUUUACAUACUAACUGCUCCACAUCCAUACCAAAAGGUAAGGAAGACAGCUUAAUUAAUCCAAACCUUCAAACUCUCUCUAUGAUAUCACCUGAAUGUUGUAAAAGGGAAGUGUUUGAAAGGACUCCAAAUCUCAGGAAAUUGGGCAUUCGUGGGAGAUUAGGAACUGUUAUAGAGGAGAUAUUUGACAGCUUGUUUAGACUCAAUUUCCUUGAAAACUUGAAGCUUCUGAAUGAAGACACAACCACCAGGUUAGACUCCCUUCCUCAAGAGUACAAGUUCCCCAGGAAUUUAACGAGGCUGACACUUGAAAAUACCUCACUUGAUUGGAAAUAUAUGUCUAUACUGGGAAAGCUGCAGAUUCUUGAAGUGCUCAAGUUGAAGAAUAAUGCAUUUCUUGGAAGAUAUUGGGACACAGAAGAUGGGGGUUUUCGUUGCCUCAGAGUUCUGCACAUAGGCCGCACAGAUUUAGUUGUGUGGAAAGCUUCAGCUAGUAAUUUCCCAUCAUUGAGAUCCCUCUUUCUUAGACACUGUGAUAGGCUUGAGGCCAUCCCAUCUGGUCUUGGAGAUAUAUCAAGCUUCCAAGUGAUUGACCUUUAUUGUACUAAUCGUUCAGUGGCUAGCUCAGCUAAGAGGAUUGAGCUUCUAAAACUUCGAUUAAAAGCAGAGCAAGAAAGCAGCAAAGAUAGCUCAUUUAAGCUUUCUGUUUAUCCUCCUGAAUAUUGAUGGCAAGGUGAACAAGCUGAAUCAUUACUUCUUCAAUGGUCAGUGACAUUAAUGAUGAUAUCAAAUAUCUGUAUCGUUUUGCUCAGCCCGUUGAUGGUGAGACAAUCAAGUUGAAGAACAUUUCAGGAUUUGAAGAAUUCACAAGCUGACCUGGAAAUUAAAAAAUCUCAGCUGAGCAUAAUUUGUGCAAAAGAUCAAAAUCUUUUUCAUUCUCUCAACUAUUUGAUUGUCAUGGAGAGCUAGUCUUGCAUUCACAAAAUUUCAGAUUGUAAAUAUGCAAGCCACUCCUGCUUGGUGUAAAUUUUUAUCUCUUUUGUUUCUUUUUCCGGUGAUCUAAAUUCUCUUUUUUGGACAUCUUUCACGAGUAAGUCUUAUAUGUACACUGACCUACUGUUGAAUCAUAACAUAUGUAUAAAGGUUAAAUUUUAAAUUAAAA